UGUGACGAGUUUGAUCAUGGCUCAGAACGAACGCUGGCGGCAUGCCUAACACAUGCAAGUCGAACGAGACCUUCGGGUCUAGUGGCGCACGGGUGCGUAACGCGUGGGAAUCUGCCCUUCGGUUCGGAAUAACUCAGGGAAACUUGAGCUAAUACCGGAUAAUGACGUAAGUCCAAAGAUUUAUCGCCGAAGGAUGAGCCCGCGUAGGAUUAGCUUGUUGGUGGGGUAAUGGCCCACCAAGGCGACGAUCCUUAGCUGGUCUGAGAGGAUGAUCAGCCACACUGGGACUGAGACACGGCCCAGACUCCUACGGGAGGCAGCAGUGGGGAAUAUUGGACAAUGGGCGAAAGCCUGAUCCAGCAAUGCCGCGUGAGUGAUGAAGGCCUUAGGGUUGUAAAGCUCUUUUACCCGGGAUGGUAAUGACAGUACUGGGAGAAUAAGCUCCGGCUAACUCCGUG
rnacentral:rRNA from 1 species